rnacentral:lncRNA from 1 species
AUACUGGUCCCAGUGCCAUUCCCACUCCAAAACCAGUGUCACCCACAUUCCAUCCCCAUACUUUGCCUACGCUGGUCCCAGUGCCACUCUCAUACUGGUCCCAGUGCCACCCAUGAACCAGCCCCACUCCAGCCCCAUACUGGUCCCAGUGCCAUCCUUAUUCUGGUCCCAGUGCCUUUCUCACACUGGUCCCAGUGCCAUCCAUGUACCAUGCCCACACCAGCCCCAUACUGGUCCCAGUGCCACUCUCACACUGGUCCCAGUGCCACCCUUAUUCUGGUCCCAGUGCCAUCCAUGUACCAGCCCCAUGCUGGUCCCAGUCCCGUCCCCAUACUGGUCCCAGUGCCAUCCCCACUGCAAUACCAGUGCCACCCACAUUCCAUCCCCACUCCAGCCCCAUACUGGUCCCAGUGCCACCCGCACACUGGUCCCAGUGCCAUCCAUGUACCAUCCCCAUACUGGUCCCAGUGCCUUUCUCACACUGGUUCCAGUGCCAUCCAUGCACCAGUCUCACUCCAGCUCCAUACUGGUCCCAGUACCACGCUUAUUCUGGUCCCAGUGCCUUUCUCACGCUGGUCCCAGUGCCAUCAUUAUUCUGGUCCCAGUGCCAUCCCUGUACCAUCCCCACACCAGCCCCAUACUGGUCCCAGUGCCACUCUCAUACUGGUCCCAGUGCCACCCUUAUUCUGGUCCCAGUGCUGUCCCCAUACUGGUCCCAGUGCCAUCCAUGGACCAUCCCCACACCAGCCCCAUACUGGUCCCAGUGCCACUCUCACACUGGUCCCAGUGCCACCCUUGUUCUGGUCCCAGUGCCAUCCAUGGACCAUCCCCAUACUGGUCCCAGUGCCUGCCCCAUACUGGUCCCAGUACCACCCUCAUACUGGUCCCAGUGCCAUCCCCACUGCAAUACCAGUGCCACUCACAUUCCAUCCCCACACCAGCCCCAUACUGGUCCCAGUGCCUUUCUCAUACUGGUCCCAGUACCAUCCCUGUACCAUCACCACACCAGCCCCAUACUGGUCCCAGUGCCACUCUCAUGCUGGUCCCAGUGCCAUCCCCAUACUGGUCCCAGUGCCUUUCUCACACUGGUCCCAGUGCCAUCCAUGCACCAUCCCCUCUCCAGCUCCAUACUGGUCCCAGUGCCACCCAUGCACCAGCCCCACACCAGCCCCAUACUGGUCCCAGUGCCUGCCCCAUACUGGUCCCAGUGCCUGCCCCAUACUGGUCCCAGUGCCACCCUCACACUGGUCCCAGUGCCAUCCAUGUACCAGCCCCAUACUGGUCCCAGUGCCAUCCCCAUACUGGUCCCAGUGCCAUCCAUGCACCAGCCCCACUCCAGCCCCAUACUGGUCCCAGUGCCACUCCCACACUGGUCCCAGUGCCACCCUUAUUCUGGUCCCAGUGCCAUCCAUGUACCAGCCCCAUACUGGUCCCAGUGCCUCCCUUAUUCUGGUCCCAGUGCCACCCAUGCACCAGCCCCACACCAGCCCCAUACUGGUCCCAGUGCCACUCCCACACUGGUCCCAGUGCCAUCAUUAUU